rnacentral:rRNA from 1 species
UACAGAGGUCUCAAGCGUUGUUCGGAUUCAUUGGGCGUAAAGGGUGCGUAGGCGGUUUCUUAAGUCUGAUGUGAAAGCCCACGGCUCAACCGUGGAGGGUCAUUGGAAACUGGGGAACUUGAGUGCAGGAGAGAAGAGUGGAAUUCCACGUGUAGCGGUGAAAUGCGUAGAGAUGUGGAGGAACACCAGUGGCGAAGGCGACUCUUUGGCCUGUAACUGACGCUGAGGCACGAAAGCGUGGGGAGCAAACAGG